rnacentral:lncRNA from 1 species
CUUUGGUAGCCUCCUUACUUGCUCCACUUGCUUCAGAGAGAGAAGUGCGGGUUUGCGGUUUAGUGAAGGAGCAAGGCUCAUGUGAAUAGAAGAAUCCAAGGUAGAGCAGGAAGAGAAAUCCAGCUAGAGAAAGAGGUGGAAGUCAAAAUAAGUAGACUCUUAUUUUAAAUUUUUAAUGGCUUCUUGGUGGCUUCAAGAUAAAAGAUAGACAAUGAGGAGCUUUGUGUUUGGGAAAAGAAUAAAAGUCAACUGUAGCAAAACCUCUCAGAAGUAGGAUUUAUAAACAGUUCUCAAAGGAUGCACAUGAAAAUGUAAUUUCUUGGGAAAGUGGCAAACAGAAAAGAAUCAAACCGCAGUUGUGUGUGGCAAGGAUAAAUAUGCAACGCACCAUCAAUAGGAUUUGUUGGGUGAAUAAAAAAGCCUUUUAGCCAACAAUAUGUAAGCAGAAGAAUGGAGCAGGAGUUAGAGAGAACCCUCAAGCAAUAAUGGAGGCCACUGGAGAGGCAAGACUGCCAAAGGCUAAGUUAUUGACCCAGUAUUUUUAAAACUGCCUCCGAAAAGAAGCCUGAACGAAAGAAAAUAAUUUGUGCUAUUAGAAUGUAUUUUUCCUUUGUGUUCCUAUCUACUUCCUUCACAAGCUAUUUUUGGAUGACAGGAUGGAGUCUCCAGCUGUGAAAGUGUUGCUGCAGACAGCCCUCAGCUUCCAGUUCUUGUAAAAAUGGCCUCAGCUUCAGAGAGCUCCAUUACCCAAGCUCAUUCAUUUCCUGGGGUGUUCUGCAUCCAGUGAGUGUUCUGUGGACUUGCCAGAACACUCACUUUUGGAACCUGGCCACCAUGUUGGAAGGAAUCCCAGAGCACAUGAGGAGGCCUUUUGGGGGUGUUCCAGCUGACAGCCUUAGCUAAGGUCUUAGCUAAUAGUCAGCAUCAACUGCUGGCAAGUGAACAAGGCUUCAGAUGAUUCCAGCCCUCAGCUUUCCAGCUGAAAACAUUG